rnacentral:rRNA from 1 species
CCUACGGGAGACAGCAGUGAGGAAUAUUGGUCAAUGGGCGCGAGCCUGAACCAGCCAAGUAGCGUGAAGGAUGACUGCCCUACGGGUUGUAAACUUCUUUUAUAAAGGAAUAAAGUGAGGCACGUGUGCCUUUUUGUGUGUACUUUAUGAAUAAGGAUCGGCUAACUCCGUGCCAGCAGCCGCGGUAAUACGGAGGAUCCGAGCGUUAUCCGGAUUUAUUGGGUUUAAAGGGUGCGUAGAUGGGAUGUUAAGUCAGUUGUGAAAGUUUGCGGCUCAACCGUAAAAUUGCAGUUGAUACUGGCAGCCUUGAGUACGGUAGAGGUAGGCGGAAUUCGUGGUGUAGCGGUGAAAUGCUUAGAUAUCACGAAGAACUCCGAUUGCGAAGGCAGCUUACUAACCUGCCACUGACAUUGAUGCACGAAAGUGUGGGUAUCAAACAGGAUUAGAUACCCUGGUAGUC